rnacentral:rRNA from 1 species
CCUACGGGUGGCAGCAGUGGGGAAUAUUGGGCAAUGGGCGCAAGCCUGACCCAGCAACGCCGCGUGAAGGAAGAAGGCCCUCGGGUUGUUAACUUCUUUUGUCAGGGACGAAGCAAGCGACGGUACCUGACGUAUAAGCCACGGCUAAAUACGUGGCAGCAGCCGCGGUCAUACGAAGGUGGCAAGUGUUAUCCGGAUUUACUGGGUGUAAAGGGUGUGUAGGGGGGGAAGCAAGUCAGAUGUGAAAUUCCAGGGCUCAACCCUGGAACUGCAGUUGAAACUGGUUUUCUUGAGUGAUGGAGAGGCAGGCGGAAUGCGGGGUGUAGCGGUGAAAUGCGGAGAUAUACGGAAGAACACCAGUGGCGAAGGCGGCCUGCUGGACAUUAACUGACGCUGAGGCGCGAAAGCGUGGGGAGCGAACAGGAUUAGAUACCCGAGUAGUC